AGCUAUGUAUAAUUGUCGAAAGUGGUAUCAUGAUGACAAGUAUCUUAAUAGAAAAAGAAGUUUGAGUAGCAUGUUUUCUGCAAAAACCAAAGAAGAAAAGAUUCUUGUUGAUUAAUUUUAAUGUUACAACAACAUAAAUGACUUCUAGAAACCUUCAUUGUUCUAUUUUUGCAAUUUGCUAGUCAGCCUCGUCUGGGGCAUCUUUGAUUUCAACACAAAAAAUUAUUUGCUGCUCAAAAGCUUUCACUUGGUAUAAUGAUUUUCUUAUCGGUUCAGGUCUAUGUAAUUGGUGGUGAUGGGACUCUAAACGGAGCAGCUUUCAUUUAUGAGGUAUGUUAGAUUCUGCUAAUUAAGAGGCCAGGUAGGUACCCACCCAAAAACAUCAGAUAGUUUCAACCUAUGUUACUUGGACUCUUCAAAAAUGAUGUCGCACCCAUGUCGGAUCCUCCAAAAAUGCACUACUUUUGGGGGAUCCACAACGCACUCAUUGACAUUUUUGAAGAGUCCAAGCAACAUAGGUUUCAACUAGGGCAAUAUGGUUUACAUAUUUUGCUGAAAGUUCAACAAUCUAUUCUUUAUAAUUAGUCUGUUGAGCGGGUCCUCUAUCACUCUACAUAGGUCAAAUCAAAUAUCUUGUUCCAAGCCAGAUGUACUAUGUCAACAUCAUCUGCACAGAGAUUCAAUAUGUUUGAAUAUACCUUACUAACUAGUUCUGGCUAGCUCUUGUCAAUAUGUUCUAGUAGUUUCCAUGGACUUGCUAGUCUCUUACAUGGAAACAUUUAUUUUGAAUAUGCUAGAUUCAUAUUUAGUUCACUGCAAUUGUAAAUGGAACACUGUACUGUUAUAUGCAAUACUUGGUAUCUGAUUUCGUGUUCUGAUGGUCCUUGGUGAAAGAGAAGUUCUAUUCAUCUUUGCAAGCACUCUUAGAAUAAUCCUACUCCCCUUUUGCAGGAAAUUAGGCAGCGUGGUCUCAAAGUUGUUACUGGGAUACCCAAUAAUUGAUUAUAUUUUGUUCUGGUACGAUAAACAAUUUAACAGCCUUAGGAAGUAAUCUGAAGUUUCUUGCAGAGUGCAAAGCAUAAACUUUACUACUCAAUAUUAAAAAUACAGUGUAAUUUGAGAACGUGCCAUCAAUGCAGCGCAUGUUGAAGCUCAAAGUGCUGAGAACUGUAUCAGUGUGGUGAAGCUAAUGGGCCACUAUAGUGGUUCAUUGCAAUGUAUGCCACUUUAGCAAGCAGAGAAAUUGACUGCUGUUUGAUUCCUGAGUCACCCUUCUUUCUUGAAGGAAAUGGUGGUCUCUUCGAAUUCGUCAAGAAAAGGCUCAGAGAGGAAGGACACCUGGUUAUUGUGAUAGCCAAAGGAGCUGGACAGGAACUUCUUGCAGCAGAGAAUUCCAAUGCCAGAAGUGAACAAGAUGCUUCAGGAAACAAACUUCUCCAAGAUUUUGGUUUGUGGGUAUCCCAUAAAUCAGGGUAAGGUUGUUAUAGACAGAAUUGACUGCUUUCUUUCCCUCUAUGUGCAUUUGUGGAAUCAUGAGAGAACUAAUAUCAUCUGUGUUGGAGAAUUAGAUGUACUAAAGUUCAUACCAAAUGGACCUGUUGGCCAACUCUGCAUUGAAAUGUGUUUUAAUACAAAGGGAGCAAUAGUUUAGGUAGGUAAAGAGAACAAUGGAUAGUCAAAGGAUGAAACUCUCGAAAAAGUGAUAAUUUAGGUGUUUUUUUAACCAUUAACUCUUUGAAUAGCUUGAGAAAUAUUUGGUGAGGCUUUUUAUUUUUGAAUGCAUUGUUGUUUAUCCAUCGUUUUGAGGAUGGUUUGUUGUUACACAUUUUGUACAGAGGCUGGACUCUUAAAUUUGCCUUUAAACACUGUACCAUCUAACUGAGAUAACCAGCAUGAAAUUUGUUGAACUUCUUACUGAAAGCACCCUGAAGUAAUGCACAGAAAUGGUUCUUGGCCUACUUUUCUUUUC